AUCUUGGUUGUACGGCAGCAGCAUUCCACUUCCUUGGUCGCAGGUAAGAGAACUGCGAUUGUUGGAUAUUGUUGGAUUCAUAGGUGUAAAAAGAAAAUCGAUUAAACAGUAAACAUACGUUUUCAUUACAUCCCGUGAAGGUGAGCAAAUUUUGAAACGUAACAUCGCACAUCGAGCGACGGCAAGCGUGACAGGUUAAUAUCCAAAGGAAACGUAUGCUGUUAGCUGUUAGCGAUGGCUAUCAGUCAAAGAACUAAUUUGGCUCGACCGCCACCGCUGUUGUUGCUACUGCUGCUGGGGAUUAGGUCAGAUGACUUUAGAUGAGAUUAAACCCCCUGUAGAAACACAGAUGAAGCAAGAAGAUUACAGCAAAUGAGAUGAUGUCUCUGUCCGAUUACACCAAGACAAAACCCCUGGAAGAUCGCCUUUCGCUCCUGUGGCCAACUCCACGACGUACGACGACCUGCUGGGGAUGUCGAGCGUCCAGCUGAGAGUCUGGUGUUUCCAUGGAUACCAUAACAGGAGAAUCUGGAUAAAGUCACCUGUGUCAGAGGAUGGGACAAUUUUG